rnacentral:rRNA from 1 species
AUUGAACGCUGGCGGCAGGCCUAACACAUGCAAGUCGAACGAGUGGCGGACGGGUGAGUAAUGUCUGGGAAACUGCCUGAUGGAGGGGGAUAACUACUGGAAACGGUAUCUUAUACCGCAAUCUAUCUGUUGUGCCCAUAUGGGAUUAGCUAGUAGGUGGGGUAAAGGCUCACCUAGGCGACGAUCCCUCGCUGGUCUGAGAGGAUGAACAGCCACACUGGAACGGAGACACGGCCCAGACUCCUACGGUAGGCAGCAGUGGGGAAUAUUGCACAAUGGGCGCAAGCCUGAUGCAGCCAUGCCGCGUGUAUGAAGAAGGCCUUCGGGUUGUAAAGUACUUUCAGCGGGGAGGCGUUACCCGCAGAAGAAGCACCGGCUAACUCCGUGCCAGCAGCCGCGGUAAUAC